AGCAGGGAGCCUAUAGGUCUACUGAACUGGGGGGAAGCUACAUUUUCUGUUGUUAUCCUAUGUACCUAUGCAUCAGCACAGGUGCUAGUUAGUUCCAGACAAGUCAAAUCUUCCAAAAUCAUUGCCCGAUCCUCACAGGCAAUGCCAUCUCCCCAUCUGCAGUGCUGAGGUGUUUGCACUCUGAGGACUCAUCGUGUUCUAGACCCACACUUUGUUGUCUGCAGUGCAAAUCUUGUCUGCUUCUCUGUAUUUCUCAGUCAUUAUUGACAAAGAUUCCUCCCUGCCUCUUUACAAGUGGCACUGUUGUCUAGUUGUCUCAGUAAAUUCUAUACAUGUAGCAAAUAUGAGUUGUUGUUUAUUUUGGGUCCAAACAUAUUAAGCUGUUUGCUGGCUUUUAGGUGUUUGAAAAACUGCAUGGAAGCUAGAAAUAUCAGCAAUUAACCAUCCUGGCAGAUGAUACUAUAGCUACCAUGGGAUAUUAUGAAAGGAAUUUUCUUGGACUGUACAGGGAGAUAAACAAACAGAAAUGUUGGGGCUCCAAAGGCACUGACAUACCGGAUGGCUACACAUUAAUGUGCACUGUAACUGCACAAUUACACCCAAACUGGAGAUGGUUGAGAAGAACUCUUUCUACUAAUUUUCUUCCUAAGAGAAGUGUUUCUUACAAUUAUUCACCCUCCGCAGUCCCAUUCUGUGUGGUGUAAGCUUAAACACCUAAUAUAAAUACUAGGUUCUGGUUUGGAGGGCUAGUAGUCUCUAAAUAGAUAUUGUUCUGCCAAAAUCAGGUAUUUGGUCUGGUUCCUUCUGUUCUCAGGCCUUUGAACUGCAUUGUCAUACCUAGAACACCUGGAAUACUACACUGAUGCUACAGUUGGCAGGACACAUUAGGGCUUUUGCCUACAGGGACCUGGUGACUGACAUGGCUUUAGUGCUUGUGUUGUUGCAGCUCUCAGGCAUAAAUUAGGGGCUAAAUCACAAAAGCAGCAGCAUAUCUCUGCUGAGAAUAAUUUUUUUGCCUUCUGAUGGGGAGUGUUAGAAGAUCAGGGACUGACUACUUUGUCCUGCAAGCCUACACUGACUCUAAAUGAAAUGCAGACACCUUAGCUGGAAAAUGUGAAAAUGGUAAGUGAAGCAGAAGACAUGUACAUACAUAAAUGGAGACUUUUGAAGGACAUAUACAUAAUUCCCCUCUAAAAAGAAAAAGAAGACCAGCUGUAAUAAGGCAUAUAAAGAUUAAUGACCUUGUUUUUCCUGGACAGGCAUACAGAGAAAUGGAUGCGAAUCUAGAACUCCAAAUCAGUAUUUGGGAUUUCUCUCUUUAAGGACAUGGCAUGUCUUGAGUAUGGUCAUCUUAUAAUGAUACCCACAGCAGUAAGGACAUAGAGCUGGCAUGGCAUAGAGAUAGCCAGAAGGAAAUUUUAAAUGUGUGUAGAGUAGUAAUGUUGAUUUUGUUAAAACUUGGUUGCUCUGAAUACAGAAAAUCAUGGAUAGUUCAGGUCAAGGUAAAUGAGAACCACAGCUCCACAGCUUUCCAUUUGACACCCCACAGAAAUGCGUAAUGUUGCUUGUCCUUGGUUCUUGCAUCAGACAUGCCUAUGUAUUCUAAAUUCACUGCAUAAUAUAAAAUAAAUAGGCCUGGCACCUGUAGCUCAAACCAAAAGUACCCCCUCACAGUUGUCUCUUAGGUUACAGGGUUAGAAUUAGAGGGGCUGAGAUUCUUCCCAGAUUAUUUCAAGUCACCAGGGAAGAGCUGGGGUAGGGAGUAGGAGGUGGUGCGUUGGCAUCCGACCACGCUUUAAUUUCUGAGAAACAAUAUACAUUGCACUGGCUCCUCCCCACCUGCUUCUUUGCAGACUGAGCAUCAAAUUAAACUCUGCAGGACAAAGCAAACUCAGUCAACCUUUAGGACCAUAUAGCAUUUCAUUAAUUUCUCUUGAUGCAUAAAGUUUUAUUUUUCAGACCUUGAUGCAACAGCAUGGCUUGCCCUCAACAAUCAGAUGAGCUUGUCUUUUUUGUGAAUGGCAGGAAGGUAAUAGAGAGGCAGGCAGAUCCUGAAGAAUUGCUGCUGUAUUAUCUAAGAAAGAAGCUCCGUCUUUCAGGUACAAAAUAUGGCUGUGGAGUAGGAGGCUGUGGUGCCUGCACUGUGAUGAUAUCCACAUAUGAUCCUGUUGCCAAACUGAUACAUCAUCGUCCUGCCAACUCUUGCCUUCUCCCGUUAUGUUCACUGCAUGGUGCUGCUGUCAUUACUGUGGAAGGGGUUGGAAGCAUAAAAACCCGGAUUCAUCCAAUUCAGGAAAGGCUGGCCAAAUGCAAUGGCUCCCAGUGUGGCUUCUGCACCCCUGGAAUGGUGAUGUCCAUGUAUGCCUUACUGAGAAACCAUGCAGAACCUUCCAUGGAGCAGAUUAUUUCUGCUCUGGAUGGUAAUUUGUGCCGUUGCACAGGAUACAGGCCAAUUAUAGACAGCUACACAUCUUUUGCUAGGGAGCCAACAUGUUGCCAACUCAGAGGAACUGGACAAUGUUGCUUGGAUCAGGAGGAAUGUGUCUGUUCAUCUUCUACAGGGGGUCAGAUCCUUUCAGGUCUUUGCAAUCCAGAACAAUUCCUGCCCAUGGAUCCAACACAGGAAUUUAUAUUUCCUCCUGAACUAAUGAGAAUGGCUCAAGAGCAGCAAAGAACAACUCUGAUUUUUCAUGGCAAAAGAACAACAUGGAUUUCUCCUCCUAGCCUGAAGAAGCUUCUGAAGCUGAAAGCCAAGUAUCCAAAGGCACCUUUGGUUGUGGGGAACACUAGUGUGGGACUCAGAAGAAAUCACAGUGGUGCCUAUCAUCCAAUCAUUCUCCAUCCUGUUAGGAUUUCAGAAAUGCAUGUUGUGAGUAGCACAAGUGAUGGGCUAGUAAUAGGAGCUGCCUGCUGCUUGGCCCAGCUCAGAGACAUCCUAAUGAAGGCAGUCACAGAACUUCCAGCAGAGAAAACAAAAACAUACCGAGCUCUCUUGCAGCACCUGAGAACUCUAGCUGGAGAACAGAUCAGGAGCAUGGCGUCUUUAGGAGGACACAUUGUAAGCAGAGGAUCAUCCUGGGACUUGAAUCCAAUCUUAUCAGUUGGCAAAUCUGUCCUCAACUUAGCAUCAGAAGAUGGUGAAAGACAGAUUCUUUUAAAUGAUCGUUUCCUUGCUGGCUGUGAGCAUGCAGACAUAAAUGCCAAGGAGGUCAUUGUUUCUGUUCUCAUUCCAUACUCUAUGAAGGAUGCCUUUAUUUCAGCCUUCAGGCAGGCUGAAAGACAGAAAAAUGCUUUGUCUAUAGUGAAUUCUGGAAUGCGAGUGCUCUUCCGUCCAGGCACAGACACCAUUGUAGAUCUGAGUAUUUUAUUUGGAGGCAUUGGCUCAACCACACUCAGUGCAAGAAAGUCCUGUGAGAAGCUUAUAGGAAGGCAAUGGAAUGAUCAGAUGCUGAAUGAAGCUUGCAAGCUGGUGCUAGAGGAAAUUGUUCUCCCUCCAUCAGCUUCAGGUGGAAAAGUAGAAUAUAGGAGAACUCUGCUUGUCAGCUUUCUUUUCAGAUUUUACCUGGAAGUGUUACAUGGUUUACAUCAGAUGUAUCCCUUCAGGUAUGCUGAGCUUUCACAGGAGAAGAUGAGUGCUUUGGGAAUGCUGCAAAGUGGUGUUCCCCAGGGUGUCCAGAUCUAUCAGGAUGUUGACCCAGGACAGUCUCCACAAGAUCCCGUGGGCCGUCCCAUCAGGCACCAGUCUGGAAUUAAGCACACCACUGGUGAGGCAGUUUUCAUUGAUGACAUUCGUCCUGUGGAUGGAGAACUCUCCCUAGCUGUGGUCACCAGCGUUAAAGCCCAUGCAAAGAUCAUAUCAAUUGAUGCAUCAGAAGCCCUUCAGGUGCCAGGAGUGGUUGAUGUAGUGACAGCAAGAGAUGUUCCAGGGAAAAAUGGCAAAGAUGAGCAAGCAUAUGCAGAAGAUAAGGUGAUUUGUGUUGGUCAGAUAAUCUGUGCUGUGGUUGCAGAGUCACUGACUCAGGCAAAGUGUGGGGCUGGAAAGGUGAAGAUAGUCUACGAAGAUCUGGACCCAAUUCUGACUAUUGAGGAUGCAAUAAAACAUAAUUCAUACAUUACUGAAGAAAGGAAAAUAGAAAAAGGAGAUACUGUGAAAGGAUUCAAGUCUGCUGAUGAAAUAAUCGAAGGUGAAUUGCACAUGGGAGGACAGGAACAUUUUUACAUGGAAACAAACAGUGUACUUGUUAUUCCAAGAGUGGAGGAUAAAGAAAUGGACGUGUAUGUGUCAACUCAGCAUGUAACAGAUGUACAGGAAUUAGUGGCUUCAGCUUUAAACCUCCAGUCCAGUAAAGUUAUGUGCCAUGUGAGACGUGUUGGUGGAGCAUUUGGUGGGAAGGUUACUAAACCUUCCCUCUUUGCUGUAAUUGCAGCUGUGGCAGCCAACAAGACCGGGCAUCCAGUCCGUUUUGUCCUGGAAAGAAAUAUGGAUAUGUUAAUCACUGGUGGACGGCACCCUUUCUUUGGAAAAUAUAAAGUUGGAUUCAUGAAUGAUGGUAGAAUAAUAGCUGCAGAUUUUCAGUGCUAUAUAAAUGGUGGCUGUACGAAAGAUGAAUCUGAGUUGGUGAUUGAGUACAUUGUGUUGAAAGUGGACAAUGCAUACAACAUCCCCAACCUCCGAGUCAGGGGACAUGCCUGCAAGACUCACCUGCCUUCUAAUACUGCCUUCCGAGGAUUUGGGUUUCCCCAAGCAGGUCUGUUUAUGGAGACCUGUAUUGUGGCUGUGGCGACCCAAACUGGCCUACCACAUGAGAAGGUUAGGGAAAUAAACAUGUACAAAGGAGUUAACCUAACAUCCUUCAAAGAAAAGUUUGAUGCAGAGAAUCUGUGGAAGUGUUGGGAAGAAUGUUUGGACAAAUCUGACUAUUACUGUCGAAAAGCAAUGGUGGAAGAAUUUAACACUAAAAAUUAUUGGAAAAAGAAAGGGAUUGCCAUCAUUCCAAUGAAGUUUUCUGUUGGAUUUAACGCAACUUAUUUUCAUCAGGCUGGAGCUCUUGUCCACAUCUAUAUAGAUGGGUCUGUGCUAAUCACUCAUGGUGGAAUUGAACUGGGACAAGGAAUUCACACUAAGAUGUUACAGAUUGCCAGUCGUGAACUGAAGAUACCACUGUCAUAUAUCCACUUCUGUGAAACAAGCACAACAACUGUACCUAAUGGCAAAUACACAGCAGGAUCAGUUGGAACUGAAAUCAAUGCAAGAGCAGUGCAGAAUGCCUGCCAAAUCCUUUGGAAGCGCCUGGAGCCUAUUCGAAGAGACAAUCCUGAUGGCAAAUGGGAAGACUGGAUCAGUGAAGCUCACAAGCAAAGCAUCAAUCUUUCAGCUACUGGCUAUUUCAAAGGUUAUCAUACAAACAUGAACUGGGACACACAGAAAGGCCAUGCGUUCCCGUAUUUCCUCUUUGGAGUUGCAUGUUCUGAAGUAGAAAUUGACUGUUUGACAGGAGCCCACAAGAAUAUCAGGACAGACAUUGUCAUGGAUGCCUGUUUCAGCAUAAAUCCAGCUAUAGAUAUAGGACAGAUUGAAGGGGCCUUUAUUCAGGGGGUUGGUCUUUAUACAUUAGAAGAAAUCUACUUUUCUCCAAAAGGAGAGCAGCUCACUCUUGGCCCAGAUACAUAUAAGAUCCCUGCUGUCUGUGACGUUCCUGAGCAGUUCCGUGUCUAUUUACUGCCCAAUUCACGCAACUCAAUUGCCAUCUAUUCUUCCAAGGGCAUGGGCGAGGCUGGAUUAUUCUUGGGCAGCUCAGUGUUCUUUGCAAUACGAGAUGCAGUGGCUGCUACACGGAAAGAAAGAGGAUUGUCCCUGGACUUCACACUGAACAGCCCCUUGACUGUUGAGCGGAUUCGCAUGGCCUGUGGCGAUGUCUUUACUGAGAUGGUAUAAUACAUAGGUUUGAGAAUGGUACAGUUCCCCACUCUUGAAGUGCGAUACAGUACCAGCUCUGGCUGGUUUUGACAUUCUAUUAUCUUCUAAUAUCUUCCCUCUCACAGAUGGAACAGAUUCCAAAAGACAAACCUGGAACCUAUAAGCCAUGGGCCAUCGAUAUAGCUUAGUACUGCUUUCCUAAGAAUCAACCAACCAGGUGAUUCCUUCAGCCACUUACUGAUCAAAAGCAUUCAUGCAAGAAAGAACUGUAACAUUUACAUGCACACAUGCAUACAUAUAUAUACCACACCAUCUUUGCAGAACAAAAUAUAAGCACCAGUUCUAUUGUAAGUCUCUAAGUAAAAGACCUCUCAUUAAUGUGUUUCAUGCUACACUGGAAUAGUUGGGGAGUUAACUCAAGAACUUCAAAGCAUUUGCAUGAGACUCUGAAAAUAUCUGCAGUGAAGAGCAGAUCAGAAAUAGUACCAUUUUGUCACUUCUACAUCCAGUUUGAGAGUCACAGCUGUUGUUAUCUAUUUUUUCUGUUUUUCUAACAUAUGAAAAUCCCAAAGAUCAGAAUUAGACAAUGUACAAAUUAGUGAUGGGCAAUGUAUCAAUAUUUCAGUAAAAGAGAUAUUCUGAAAGAACAUACUACCAAAUAUUUCUAGACGUUGAUAUAUUAUUACCACUACAGUAACCACAGUAAUACACCAGUAAAGCUUCUUUGCUUCCUGGCAGCCUACCUCAAGCCUGCUCCUUACCACCAGAUCUCUUUGAACCACUAUCAACUUCGACCUCUCCUAGAGCUGGAAAAUAAUCACUGCUAUUCACUCACUGCCUCGUCAUCACUUGUUCCUCUUCUCCUCUUCCUUAUCCACAGUUUUGCUUCUUCUUUCCAGCAAAUUGGUGAAGCAGAACACAGCUGAUGCUUUCAUCUGUAGGUGAGGAGAGGGCACGAUGCAAGAGAGGUGUACUGGAGGUAGGAAGGGUUAAAGCAGGACAGGUUCCCAGUACCAGCUUCAAGUGACCAUAACACAGGUGAGGUUGCCCCUUGCAGCCGUCAGCAGGCCUGCAUAGCAAUGUGUAGAUGAAAAGGUGGAGGGGAGCAGAAUUGAGAGGGAAACAAUGACAACAGAAGUUCAUCACAGUGUGUCAGCUCACAGUUUAACUGAGCUAUGCCAAACAACUGGCACUCUGACAGAGAAUAUUUCAGAAAGGAGCUUUUAAAGUGAUCUGGUGGCAGCUGUAUGCUCAUUUCCCCAUGAGGAGAGGAGACUGAAAAGCAAGUGCAAAGGUAUUUGAGAGGGAGAAAAGGGAAUGGCUGAGCUAAGCCAACAUAGUAAUAUAUACAAAUCAAUAUUCGACUUUGAUAUUUAAUAGUUCAAAGCAAUAAAAUUUACAGUAAGAACACAUUUAACGUCAUUGUGUACCCAAAACACUAACAUAAGAAAUAACUCUGGAGAUGCUUAAUGGGUAUUUCAUUAGUUCAGAUCCUCAUUAAAUAGACAGAAAUUUAGACUAUUUUCAUUUAUUUUAAGGGUGAGGCUUAAAUUAACUCGGUAUAGAAGAGAGUGCAACCUGCACACACCCUCAAAUAAGUCAUGUUUAAUUUAAAUCUGUAGAGAUACAACAAGAUUUUAUUCCUUUACAUGUAAAUUAAUAUUGCAAGUAAUAAGGAAAUUUCUAGCUUAUGUGGGUGAAGUUUUCCUGAUCAUUUCUCUUGGUAAAUGGUGAGAAACUACAGCUAAUGGGAAAAGCUCAACUGGUAAUAGACUUUUCAGUUCUGUAAUAUCAAAGACUUCAGGAAGCUGACAGCAAGGAACUAUUAUGUCUUUUUGUUCCUUUCCAUAAAAUGCAAUUUUAAUAAUUUCUGAUUUAUCUUCUUGGCUUUUUACUUAGUUGUGAUUCAGACAAAUCCUCUCAGUUUAGAAUGAGUACCAAAGUAAUCAGGGUCUUGGGUUUAGAAUGAACGGACAAAUAUUUGCAAAUAUUAAGGUGAAAAUCCUUCCUCUGAAACUCCCUUAGGGUAUUUUUGAAUGUAGUAUUUUGGGGAUUUCAUCGGGCUGUUAACUGGAACCUGUAAAAAUGUUUCUUGAAUAAAAGCAAACUUGUAA